AAACAAUAAAGCAAAAUGAUGAAUCCACAUAACUUGCCAAGUCAAACAAAAAAAAUCGACCUGCAUACUCUGGAAAGAGUAUUAUAAUAAAAUUGAUAAGAGAUUACAAUGCUUUGAAAAAGUUUAGACAACCAACCAUGGAAUGGAACAUAUCACCAUAACAGGAGGAACACUAAAUAUGAUCUCAUGAAUGGUAUAUAAUUUUGUGUUAUUGCUCUCAACUACCUGCAAUAAUGUAUCUUGAACUAUCAACAUUAUUAUCAUUCAGCACUAUCAACAACCCACAAUUAUUAACAUUAUCAAUAUAACCCAGGGGUAAAGACAAUCGUCAUUAUCUUCAUUACCAGAUUCUUAUGCACAAUAUGCUCAUUAUUAGAACCAAGUAAUAAUUAGGGUGGAAUAAAAUAUAUUUUGAGCAAUUAACUUUCAGUGACCACAAGAAGAGGCGCCAUUAUCGACAAGCAAGAGAGACAUUUACUGCCAUCUCAACGGACGUAACAGCGAGGCAUGCAGGGUGGCAUAUACAUUUUGCUUUGUUGAGACUUGAGAGUUCAGCCAGCCUUCAGUUUUGAUGCUUUUUGUUUAACAAAAAAAGCUGAUAGCACACUUUUACUGCGAGCAGGAGCACGUACCAUCUCUCGCCUUGGGUUAUCAAAUGACCUGAAUGCUGUCAAAGGCUUAGAACCCUCCAACGAUUCCUGCAAAAAGAGAUUUUGCAGUCUAGCUUUUACUAAUUCUUCUGAAAGGAUAUGCACAGACAUCAGAAUAGCAUGAAUGCAUGAUUGGAUUAUCUAACCAAGAGAAAAGCUCAAAAUGCAUUUAUUCCCAAAGCAUAUAUACAGCAAGGAAAAAUCCCAUGGGAAUUCUUCGAUCAAAUAAGAUAAUUCAAUGGGCAUAAAAGAUGAGCAUUUCUCAAUCAAUGGAUUAAUUGGCAUAUCUUUAAUGUACAGUAACUAAUCUGCAGAUAUUAGUAAGUAAUAGUUAGCUAUGGAGAACUCUGAAAAGAAGUAUAUCCUAUAUCAAAUUACACACUCACUCAGGCAAUAUUUCAACAUAGUUGAUCUACCAUAAACAUGAUCUUGCAUACACACCCAGAAGCCAAGAUAUGGUCCAAUUAUUUUUUUUUUUUCCUUGUCUAUUACCAUGAUCAUAUGUAUGUCAACUGGCAAAUUACAAAAUUCAAGUUCCUCAAGUACCCUGGAAAUAUAUUAAACAAACAAGCAGAUAUAAUAUAUCCAAUAAUUAGCUGAGGAUGCUUCAUGUUGCUUGAUCCUAGAGUCCAGACGAAUUCCUAAUUUCAAUCAAAAGGAUUCCAUGAUCUAAAAUGAUCAUUAAAUCAAGUAAUAUUCAAUCAGUUUGUGGAAUUUCACGUUCCCACUUCUUUGAAAGGUAAAAGGCCUCCACAACAACAAAAUACAAUGCUCUACCAAGGAAAAAUAUAAGUAAGUAAUUUGCUGCACACAUCUGUCCAAGGCAUGUGGCAUUAACCAAGACAUCUAGACUUAAAAGAGACCACAGCUCUUAAAUAUUUUAAUCCAACCAAACAUCAGUCGCAUACACACUACUUUCACUUAUAACGUAGUUGGUUUUCACUUCAGAUGGAAAUUUGAGCAACAAUCAAUCCAUCGAAGGUACAUGAAGUUUCUCAUCAUCCACCACGUUUAAUUGAAUACGACCAAAACCAUGAUUAUUUCCAGAUUAACAGUAGCAAGUUUGUACACACGUCCAGGGUGGAAAUAUGGUAGUUCCCUAUCCUUGCAUAUGCAAUCAGUAAUACUAGAGCCACGACAAAAACCAAGCACAACUAUCCACAGAUAUAGAUCACUUAAAAGCUGGAAGUCUUUUGCAGGUUGCAGCAAUAAUAAAAGAAUGGACCAGCUUCCCACAAUUUGCAAUUGAAGCAGCAGGUGAAUCUAGGUCUCACAUUAUGUGGCAUAAUUUGUCAAGCAACUCCACUAGUCUGGAUUAAGACUCAUACCAGCUGUCGUUCAUGCCUACAUUUAAGAUGAAGACUUUCCAAAACCAGAAAUCAUACACCACAUAGAACUUAGAAGUUAGAACCAAAGUGUUAAGUCUGCUCAGACCCAUAGGACAGGAAAAAAAAAGAAUCAAAAGUAGUUACAUGCAGCUCACACCAGAGCUUGAGCUAUACUAAGGCAUUGACCUUUUAAGGUGGUUUCAUAAAAGAUAUCAUCAAAUUUAUGAAAUGAAAUACUAUAUGAAAAAGGCAUUUCACCCAAAUGGAUUACAAGAAAUCAAGAAAAAAAAAAUCUCAAACAAACAACAAACCAAGGAAUAGUUAAUAUACUAAUUUUACUUCCUUUUAUUUAUCUAUUUUUCAUUUUUUUAAUGAUCAACAAUGUACUUAGAAGAAUGUCGGGCAUGUCUGUGUUUUUGCUGAUUUUGAAAUUACCCUGCGUGUGACACCAAAUGUUUGCAUGAUUACACCAGAAGUAGGACUUCCAGCUGAUAGUUGAGAAAGAGCUCCUGAUGGUCUUGUCUGUGUACUCUCUUCUUUAUCCAGUAGUUGGAAAACUGCAGAAGAUUUUCCACAAUUUUUUGUGUCUUCAGCAUUCAUCAAAGUUUGUGAAGUCCCUUUCAAUGUAGACUUGGUCUCAGAGGCUAAAUGCCAGGAAAGAGUUUUGGAUGCGGGGGAACCUGAAGGCUGGAGAUGAGAUCUAGCUUGAAAUGAAUUUUUCCUUGCAUCAGUUUGAAUGUAAGGGCUAAAAUGUACCUUCUUGUUAACAGAAUCUAGGACAACCAGAGAAGCAAAGAAAAUAAAGCAGUUUGAAAACAAUAUAUAUCUCCCCAGAUCAAUUAGUACCUAUGCAAGAACCUAAAGGUAACUAGUCUUACUUGGUAAUAUAUAAUGUUUGUGAUGUCUUGGGAUAAAUGCCAACAACUGCUGCUGCCUAAGACCUUCCUUAUCCGUAUAUGUUUGGCAUGUAAGAAGUUGCUGAUUUAGACAUGAAACUUUUAGCUCCGUGGUUGAGACGUCUAAAGUUUGUUGCUCAACAAGGCCAGUUAACUUGUAAGCCACG
rnacentral:misc_RNA from 1 species